AGCAGAACUCCUUCUUUACAAAAACAGUAUCAGUCUGUGGCAUAGGAUCACACUAUUCGACCCUUCUAUUGGCCUCAAAAUGGAGCCCUUUCUGUCCCCUGUGCUGUCUCCUGUGCUGGAAUAGCUCAGCAACACUCCCCACACUUUCUUUGAAUUAGGAUUUUGAAAAAGAGCAGAAAGACUCGGUGCCCGGGAGAGAAAGACCCAUUCCAGUUCACAAAGACUUAACCAGACUAGGCAGAGAGACUUCUGGCUGCCUGGACAGAGAAGAGACCUAUAUCAAUAAAUCCUUUACAUAAUCACCCUGCUGUUAGCAACAAGUGUCAAUAGAUCCAGAGGUUUGCAGCUUAUGGCUUCAGCGUAACUUAAAGUCAAGAUAGGCACAUGUUAUAGAAAGCAACCUUACUCCCUUGCAAGACCAAGUCUUGCCCUGCUGAAUUCUAUCCCCUUCUCUUCCAUAAGACUCCCCCAAUUGCUACCUAAAUGUUUGGCUAUGGGUCUUUGCAUCUGUUUCCAUCAGCUGCUGGGUGAAGCCUCUCAGAUGACAUCUAUCUAGGUUCCUGUCUGCAAGCACAGCAGAGGAUCAUUAAUAGUGUCAGGGGUUGGUUCUCUUCCAUGGGGUGGGUCUCAAGUUGGGGCAGUCAUUGGUUGGCUGUUCCCUCAGUCUCGGCUCCAUCUUUAACCGGUGUGCAUCUUGUUGGAGGGACAAAUUUUGUGGGUCUGUUGAUGUUCCCCUCCCUCUAUUGGAAGUUCCCCUGGAGAUGGGCACUUCAGUUUUCAAAUCCCCAGCUACUAGGAUGUUAAGAACCUCAGCUAGAAUCACCUCCAUAGAUGCCUGGCAGCCUGCUUCAUCCCAGGUCUCAGGCCCCUCUCAGAGAUGUGCCCCCCAUUUUUGUACUCUCUCCCAGCUCUCUCCAAACCUGACUCCACACAUCUGAUCCCCCCUCCAUUUUCUCUCCCCACCCCAUAUCCCACCUAGUUCCCUCCCUCCCUCCAUCUCCAAUAUUUAUUUUACUUCCCUAUCUGAGUAAGAUUCAAGCAUCCUAACUUGAACCCUCAUUGUUAGAGUCUUUGGAUUUGUGGAUCAUUUUCCUGUAUUUUAUGGCUAAUAUACACUUACAAGUGAGUACAUACUAAUUGUGUCUUCUUGAAUCUGGGUUACCUCAUUCAAGAUAUUUUUUAGUUAUACCUAUUUGCCUGCAAAUUUCAUGGUGUCUUUGUUUUUAAUAGCUGAAUAGUACUCCCAUUGUGUAAAUCCACAAUGGAACAAUAUCCAUUCUUCAGUUGAGGGACAUCUAGGUUGUUUCUAGUUUCUGGCUAUUAUGGAUAAAACUUCUAUGAACAUAGCUGAGCAAGUGUCCUUGUGGGAUGGUGGAACUUCUUUUAGGUAUAUUCCCA
rnacentral:lncRNA from 1 species